AAGUAACAAUCUCUUUCAUCAUUUACUGUGCUUUUUUUACAACGUAAUUGGUUUGAACCAAAAUAAAGACUGUAUGUUGGAGCCUUUUUAAAUUCAUUGAUUGAAGUGCUGCCUUUUCAUGCUUCAUUUUCCCCCCCGGAUUACAAGAUUAGGAUUUGUUUGAGAAGCAAAUAUGGCAUUUUUUUGUUAGACUUGAUGAAAUCAUUGUCUGCAACUGCCAAGACAAAAAUGACUUGAAGACAGAUCAUCUUGUUAUAGGAAGCUUGCUUCAGCAGUCUGGAACUUACAACCAAUUUAGUUAUGUCAAGGCAUUAAACCACCUUUUCAGUCAAGACAAGGUCACUACUUUUCAAGGGGUCUAUGAAUGCUGCAGUCCUUUUGGUGGAAUGUCACCAGACGCUGUGCUGCAGGAGCACACUCACUGAGCUCUGGCUGCUCCUGGGCUUCUGGGUCCUUGAGCCACAGCAGCCCAAAGCACCCCUGACACAAAAAGGGAGCUCCUCAGCAACCUCUCUACAGUCCUGGUGCAGUGCUGUGCUGCUUGCUGGUGCAGAUGGAGCAGAGCUCGUGCCAUACAUGACAGGUGGUUUGACUGGCUGCAAGUCAAGUGGAUAUGCUGUACCAACAGACACUCACCUGCAGCUUGUGAACAGACCCACCUGAAAUACUGGACCAGACUCUGCCAACAGCCAUAGGUGUUAGGCCUGUGCUUAUCCACUGAUGAGGUGUGGAAGAUGGGAAAGGUCAAAAUACUACUAUUGGACUGCUGGGCCUCCAAGUUAUGACUCUUCUCUUGGGCCAGUCUUGGUGUAACAAAACUUCCUAUGAACUAUGGUGAGGGAUAGUGCUGAGUGCUCCAUUUGUCCUCCUCUGCUGCCAGUAAAGGAACACAAAAGAAAUAUUAUGUGCUUUCAGGUAAGUGGAAGAGAUAGAUUAGGGAAAAAAAGGAGAAAAGGAAAUGUACCUUUCAGUUACCGGGACUUUUUAAAGAAAGGGAAUGGAAAAUAAACUUCCCUCACUGUAAUGCCCUCUCACAUCUCUUCUCAAAUUUUUGACUUCUGAAUCAUUUAUGAAUUUUAUUUUUUUUUCCUUCUCUUUUCUUUCCUUUUUUUCUUUCUUUUUUUCUGUGCAGCAUGUGGUCUUCACUGGAGAAAUUAGUCUCAUCUAUCUUCAAAAGCUGAACUUAUCUGAACACUGUCCAUUCAAUCCAACAGAUACACUGCGUUAUUAAAUUACUUAAAGACACUGACAAAGCCCAUAACUAUGAAUCUUAAUCUUAAGGAGCUCAGUUCUAAUUUGUACAAUGGCUUCCACUAGAUUAGCACAGAGAAAUGAUAAAGUGAAAUGCUGCCUCUGUGUGCAAGCUAGACAGUGCACAGCAAAGCCCAAAAUCAAUAAAAGUUGCAGAAAGUCUGCUGAGCUCCUUUAGGCAUUUACUCAUGAGUGAAGGCAUUUUUAUCAUCAAGUUAACUGGGUUCCAGAGCAGGCUUUAUUUUAUAUGGGAUUUUCCCUUUAAAGGAAGAGUUAUUGUAUUGUGGAAACAAUAGUUUCCUUCUUCUUCUUAGCAGAAAAAAGUCAUCACACAUUUCUAAAUAUAAUAAUAAAUUCUUGUGAUAUGUUUUGAACCUUCCUAAGAGAAGAUCCAUGAAUGGAGAAAGAGAAUACAUGGUUUUCAGCUUGCGGUUAGCCAGAAAACACCUCUACCUGAAUGAGAAUUUCAAGACUUCUUUGUCAUUAGGGCAUUCAAACAUGGUAUUCUGUAGUGACUGAAAGCUUGAAAUGUCAUUGUAAAUUUUUAGUUUUUUUCCCUUAUAUCCAGAUGGAUCCUUCCCUGUUUCUGUUUGUGACUACUGUCUGUUCUUCCACGUUCCCUCAUUAAAAGACCUGGCUCUGUCUCAGUUAUCUUCCCUUAACUAUUGGAAGAUUGCUAUUAGGUUUCCCCCAGGACUUUCUAUCUCCAGACAAGAGAGUCACAGGGGUGAAAUGCAUUUGCAUUUGAGGCAUAAUGCACAUUUUUUUGUCUGUUUGUUUUAUUGGCAUCCUUACAAAAAGAUAUCAGUGAAAGCAAAGUGUCAUUUUUCUGAAAUAAAGUGCCAAACUGGAAAGUCAAAGCAGCAUUACUCAAAAAAAAAAAAAAAAUCAAUCCAUUUCUUUAUAUAAACAUAUUCCAGGGAACAACAUGAUAAGCAAUGCUAAACUGAGGCUUAAACAUGCAGAUACCUAGUCUUAAGUAAAAAUUAUGGCUUUUUAAAGUAACAGUAAUCUUAUUCUUUUCACAUCUGCAUGCAGAAUACUACCUAAAACAUAAGUCAAACAUGACUAAAUUCAAAUUAAUCUGAAGAGGGAAUUUGCCUUUUCUGUUACAGGUUUCACAAUGAAGGCACUUGCUUUCAUAGUGACUAUACCUGAUAGUCAGUUAAUGUGUGCAGGACACCCUCUGAGUCAUCAGCUGGUGUUCCUUUGUACUCAUUUUAGAUGUACAGCUUUUUCUUAUCUCUUCACUACCCAAAGAAGACACAAAAUCUUCAGAGAAGGCUCUCUGUUAAACUGUCUUUAUCUCAAUUAAUGAGUUUUCUCUUUUUUGCUCUUCUGAUUCUCUCAUCCAACCCACAGCAGAGAUGGGGGUUGAGCUCCUGACUGGGGUUAAACCACAACAGCAAGUAAAGCCACCAUUUCUUUAUGCCUCUCUCUUGUUAUGUAAAGCAUAAGGAGCUGAAGAUGACUCAGUUAGACCUAUAUAGUUAAGGUCUAAAUGAGAUUAAUCAUGUAUUUUAGAUUUCAGAAGAUCAAAUCAGGCAGAUAUUUACCUUAUGCAGUUCUAGUUCAGAUCUACAGGCUUAAUUAUUACAGCUCCUACGCAGGAAAGAAGAUCUGUCCUUCUGAAGAAAGUACAAUAUGGGAUGCUUAGAAAAAUAACCAGCAUGUGUAUGUAACUUCUGUGCUCCUCUCUUUCAUCUGGCUCCCCAUUAAAUGUCCAGUCUAGAAGAGUGUUUCCACAACAUGGAAAACCUUCUGUAGAACUAGGUAUUCUUGUGUACUUGAUACUCUUGUAGUGCAGAAGCUGUUAUGGAACUUGGUUUUUGGCAAAUUACAUUAGAGGAUAAUCUUAAUUUAUUUGAUUACAUUUGCCAUUGUGGGCCAAGCAUGAGCAAUUUAGAGGAUUAAACUGGAGCUGCACAGAAAUGUGAGAAGUCUAUUUAGGGCUCUCAAAAUUUGAUUCUUUUGAUAAGAGAGUGCCUUGUGCCAAAUGAACAUUGGAGUGGCCUUCUGAUUACUUUCAAAUAUACACUGUAAUUUCAUUAUGGUGACCUUGAAUGCAGAGUUGUAUCAGUUCCUUACAGGCUGACUCAUCUCUGCUUCACUCUGUUACUCCAUAAAGGGUCAAAUCUCACACUUCUUACUUGUUCAUCCCCUACACAGAAUUCCCAUGGACAUCUAAGCCACAUAUGGCUUUGAGUCACAACUGAUUUUGGGCAAUACCUUCAUGGAGUAUUGAAGUAAGUGACUGACAUGGCCAAAAUAAAAGAUGCAAUGGCCCUAAGUUCAUGAUUUUGGAUUGACCUCUGGAUACAGUAGCCUGGAGGGCAACGCUAUUUUGGAAGAUUCCUCUUCCAUUGCCCAGAGUGAGAAGAGAGUACAGCUGCUGUUUCAGGCACUCUACGGUCCACCUGUUUGGCUGCAAACUAUAUGACAUUGUUGGUGCACUGAGCACCAUGACUGUAGCACAUUUCUGAGCACCAGAGAAGGCAUUUAAGCAUUUCUCUUAUGCCUAUGAGCCAUGACUUAAUCGUGAGUCACAUCCUGAAGUUUUGUAUUAUCAGAAAAAUGCCAUUGUGUGUGCCAUUUAUAAAUGAAUCUGCAGUUUGCUGUGAGCACAUAAAUUAUGCAGUAAUAUGCUAUGCAGUUUGAGCAACAGUAACUUUUUCCUUCCCUUUUUUUUCUUAAUUAAAUUGGAAACGUACUUUAUUACAUGUUUAGAAAAUAAAUAUAAACAGAAGGGGGAGAGCGGCUACAGAGUUGUAAUCCAUUACCUCUAUGUAAAUAAAUUUGAAGCAACUAUAUAGAACAUCUUAGACAAUGAGGAUGUAACAGGCAGAGGACCACUUAUCAUCUAUAGGCUAUGAGGGAAGGAUCACAGUUUAAAAAGGAUUUAUCUCUGAGAAGAUUUGAUAAGCCAAUCACACUAGAGCUGGGGUCAUCACCCUCUUUUCCACCUAAAUGUGAGUUUAACUGAGACUUAACACUUCCUGCACCUUGUUACUAGUAUGAGAGGAUGUCACACAGAGAUGUCCAGAGCUCUCGUAAUGUCCCUAGAGCAAUCAGUGACUUCUUCAGGGGUUUCCACAUUUUGGUAAGAGUGGAGGGAUAGUCAGUGCUUAAACACUCAAAUCAAUGCCAUGGUCUCUUUUUCUACCAUGCAGUCUAUACCUGCUCAUAUGAUCUGCCUGAGUUCCUUAGGAAGGGCCUGUAAAGGAAGCCAGAGGGUUGACAUUUGCUUGCAAAGAGCUGCCAUGGUGGGUGUUACUAUGAGGCAGCACAUCUGUGCUGUGGAAGUCGUGUACAUCACAGUAGUUGCUUUACUUGAUUCUUUGGGUGUGGAUGAUACAAGUUACACUGGGGAGUGGCUAUCACUUUGCAUUAGGAAAAAGUAAACAAUUUACUUGAUUUUUCUAAUCAUCCUAGGCAACUAUUUUUUUUAAGACUGUGAUCUUUUUAGUAUGCCACCCUCUGGUCAUUUUUCUACUUUCAGAGAGCAAAUUUCAAAGAAAGAAUCUGAUCCAUCUUGUCCUGAGUCUGCCAGAAUGCUUUAGAUGGCUACACUAUCUGAUGUUUACAGGGCCAGAUCGAACCAUUGAUUUUUUACACGAAACUUCCCACUACCCUGAACAAAUUGUACUGAGGAAAAGCUAAUGGCAUAACUAUGGCCCUUACAGAUAAACAAGACCUGGUUCAUCUGGUGUUCUGUUUUGUUUUGCAAUCUCUGAUUAAAACAUUUCUCUGUUAGUAUGUAUUUCUUUCUUUAACUUGCUUUCAACCUUUUUGUAGUAAAGCGGUUGAGAGAAGAAUGUCUCAGCUAUAUAGCAUUCAGCAAAUGUGUUAUUGCUGUUCUCAUCUAUGACAGAUUAAUAAAUGAAAAAUUACUUAAUGAAUUUUUUUUCUGUGUCAGCUCAAACUUCUGACACUUGCAAUUGCUACAACACCUUUGAGGUAGAAACUCAUGCUGGAAAUGGAGUUGCUUCAGAGCAAGAUCAUAAACAGCAGCUCCCACAUCUCUGUAAAAAUGGGUCUUAAUCACAGGUGAUUUCUAAAAGUUAAGCAAGGGAGAUGAGGUUGGCUGACCAAAUCCUAUGCUUGAUGUUCAAAUGGAGUUCCCACAAUUCCCACUCAUAUAUGUAAAAAUACAAUCUCUAGGAGAAAUGGAGGAACCUAUGCUUUAUGUUUAGAACAUCUAGUGAUCCUAGCAACUCCAGAUUAUAAAUUUUAUCUCCUGCUAUGUAGGGUAAUGAGUGGCUUAACCCUCUUUCCCACACACAACCUGGCAAUUUUCUAUCAGUAUCUGAACAUACGUGUGAUAGUAACAUAAGACUACUGAAGACCAGAUCUAUCAUGUGUUGCAGAGACAAGACUGUGUAAAAUAAUGAUCUUAGAAAUAUGUAAGCCCAAGCCCCACUUUUCACUCCAAAUACAAAUCUAUAAUAAAUGCCAGGAGAGCAGAAAUAUAAAACUGAGAAACUAUUACUUAUUUACUUUAAUUAUAGGAUUUCAAAAUAGAGAUUUACAGACCAUGAAUGAACCAUUCUUUCUCUUGAAAGAGAGAAAGCUUGCAAUGUGUUCUUUGCUUUCCAAGCAACUUAUUACAAGAACAUAUGGUACUUUGACACUUCAUUCAACUAGAAAGAGGUUGAACUCUGCUCCCUUAAGGUUUUGCUGCAGAUAUUCCAAAUUUUGCACCCACAAAAUGAUAGAUGCCCUCAAUUAUGGUCAGGGAAUGUUUUCUUAGUAAUCUAUAAAUGGUUUUAUUACUAUGUGUGCUACUCGGAGUCCUUUUCACUUUUUAAUCAGAAGUAUUUCCUUCUGUUUGCCAGUAUUCCAGUAAUUUUUACGUUCCAUCUUCAUUCUAACCUCCCUGCUAUUCACUGCAAGAAUCAUCCAUUUCACUAUUUUAUUUGCUUAAAACAUUUCUAUAACUUUUCAUAUUUUUCCUCAGGUCCUUUGUGAAUAUUUAUGCAAAACUUGGUCAGGGAGGAAAGAAAAUGUUUUGCACACUUUCAGCUCAGGGAAGAGGGUUUUGAUGGACUAGCUGAUUUCUUUUGAUGGUGAAUAGUAGCAUACUGUGAUUCUGCUGUAUAGUGUACAGUAUAUUCUUCUAGCAGAAAAAAACUGCCUCACGAUUUAUCUCUUUGUGGCACCGAACAUCUGCUGAAGUUUCUUUUGAUCCCUCUAUUCCUCUUUUUGCAAGUCCAUCAGAGAAGCAGCUUGCUUGUUUUAUAAGUUUGGAGUGUGUUUUCUCCCUUCAGGAAAGAACCAUGUGUUUCUGCAUCAACAUGCCUCAAUCAUUGCCAUGUUUGUAGUUUUACUUUCAGGAUAAUCCAACAGAUGCUGACUUGCCCCAUGGACAAAUAUGGAGGGUGGCAGACUGAAAGAGGAUUUUUUCAAGGGCUGAUCACUUUUGGGCUGCCCUUCAGCGGUCAGCAUGUUUAGCUCUGUGAGUCUGGGCGCGAAAGGUGGCAGUCACUUGUUGCUUUUGGAGCUGAUCCGUUCGAUCUGGCCAACUGCUUUUCAAGUUUUCUGUGUACUACUUGAACACAACAGUAAGAAUGACAGCUUAGCUGACUGAAUUUGUCUGUAUAUUUUUCCUGCUUUAAACUUGGGAAAGUCUCAUGAGGAGCUCUGCCUGGGACCAGAAACAUUAAAAUUGUCCUGCUUGAGCAAUCAACUUUGAAACUUUGAACUUAGUACACACUUUAUAAACAUACAUUUGGAAAAUUACAAUUAAGAGUCAAGUAUCUGAGGAAUUUCAUCUUGUAUCUACUGCACUAUCUGGAAAGUUUCCAUUAUGUUUAAAGAAGAUGGAAUUGAGCUGCUGAUUUGAAACUGGCAUUUUCUCACUUAGAGAAAGAAUAGGAAGAUGUAGCUUGUGAAGACAAAAAGCUAGUUCUGAAUGAGGGACUGUUGUAGAGGAGUUAUGUGUGGGGGGUGGAGGGACUGAAAAUUUAAAAGGUUCUGAUGUCAUAAGUAUCUGAAUGGGAGGGUCUGUACGAAGCAUAAACAAAAGGGUGUGCUCUAUUCUUUGUUGAUCCUCUCUCAUGUGCACUGAGCAUCAAAAUGCUGGUUUGGAUUACAGAUAGAUGUCAGUCUUUCUUCCUGCAAAUCUUCUCUGUAAAUGUGCUUUGUCUUAUUGAAUGAAAACUCAGCAGUGAUAGAAAAAGACCCUCAGUAGCCUGCAAGGUGAAUGUCACGGUUAAUCCAUUUUAUUUCAGAGGCUGUUGCCAAAUUACAGAGUUUUGCAAAUGAGUUCUAUUGCAAUUUGGGCUCAAGAUAAAAAUGUCUGGCAACAAUAACUGGAAAAGACGUUCUUAAUGAGGAAAGAAGAAACGUCAGUAGAGUUACUUCUAUAUUUCUUCUUUCACUAAGAUCCAGAACCUUUAUCUCACAGGAGAUUACAUGUAUACUGUGAAUAAAUUAAAGGCAUUCUUUGUAACUAUAUCAAUCAGCUGGGAGAAAAUAGAAAAUCAUUACUUGAAAAAUUUGCAGAUGACUUCAAGCUACUGGAUAAGGAAAUAAGGAGAGGUGACAAGCUAACUAACCAUACGGAGUAAGCUGGAUUAUUCUGUAAAGUGAGUUGAUCUGAGUUGUGAGCUUUUAAAGACAACUGAAUUGAAGACUGGAUUUUGAAACACAGAAUGUGGUUCCCGCUUUUGAGAUAGGAUACUGUUACACUGACAUCAAAAAGAUCUUAAAAAAAAGGUACACAACUAGCAGGAUGGGCACUUCCAUUGACAUGGUUAGCCAAAGAGCUAAUGUGACCUGGGGAGGUAUCAGCAAAGGCAUGGGUAGGAGGAGAGGCAGGGCCAUCUGUGUCACCGCUAGCAAGGCCAUCACUGGAGCACUUCAGCUCUGAGGUCCUAAUUUUGAGAAUUCUUCUGAAAAAAUUGAAAAAGUUUUGGAAGAGUCUAAGCUGUCAUCUGGAAAACAGGUAAAAACCUGACAAACAGGUAGAAACCUGAACCAAUUACUUCAAAGUAUUCAUGUUGCAGAUGUGAUUUCCUCAUUGCCUACAGACAUCUAGAUGUAAGAAAAGCUUCAGAAAACCAACAGCUCUUUAAUCCAACAACACAAAACUCAAGACUGGGAACAUAGCUAAGUGAACAAAGAUUUUAAACAAGUUGCAAAUAUUUUAAGUGGUGAAUAUGCCUAUCUCCUGAAGCAAUUCAAAAUGGAUGUGGUGUAUUCCCAUUGUGAGAAGUUUAAGAAACCUGGCUGGACAUGUUUCUGAAAUACUUCAUUCAGAUUCAGCCAAAAUUCAGGGAUAAUAUGGAGUACAUUAGGUGAAGUUCUAGUCCCAGGGUUUAGACUACAAGAUUAAUGGUCCCUUCUGGAUCAAGGACUGAUGAGGCUUUAAAACUGUCCUUUGUUAAUGAAGAGGGAUACUCUCAGCAUCAUUGAGUGUGCUAAAAAUGGUAUAGUAUGUCAGUAUUAUUAGACCUUUUAGCCAAGGAAUCUGAACAGUUUCAGAUGCGUGAGUUGAGAUAGAAUCCUCUGCCCUUUUUUAGUCUCAGUCACCCCUCUAUCUAAUUUGGAUGGUGAGAGGGGCCAUAGGCAUUUUCUGAUAGAAACUCCCCAUGGCGGAGCAGAAUGACAGCAGGACUUUGUCCAUCUCCAUCAGUGACCUAAAGCAUGGCAGCUGAUGCAUCCCCAUUAGCUAUCCCUCUCACCCACCCAUACAUUUCCCUUCUUGUUCACCAGCUCUGCUCUGAUGGAUUCACAAGGAAAAGGAAGAUUGCUGCCACAAGGCUGGGAAGGGGCAAAGAGGCAAACUGUAGUGAAAAUACUGUGCAGAGAGCUGAGUUCAGCUCUCUUGAGAGGGAAUGGGGGGAGGCUUAGGUGGAAGCACAAGAGAACCAGGCAGCCAAGGACUAGUCUGUGCAACACUCCUGAAGCUAGUAUGCAAAACAGCUUGUUUAGCACCUCAUAACUCUGUUAUUAUUCAGUAAUUGUAAUGGGGUGACAAGACCUAACAAAAGGAGUUGGAACAUUCCUAAAACUUAACAAUACAAGCAGGUAGAUGUAUGCAUAUAAAACAGUCUUCCUGGAAGGAGGAAGACCUUUAAUUCAGGUUGGAAUGAGUUGUGGUGCUUUCAGGAAGAACCUGCUUGGAUGCAGCACUCAGAGCUUCUCUGCUGGGCUGGUGUGCAGCCUGCUAACCUGAUUCAAAGUCUUAGCUCACAUCUUGCCCGGCUGAGAAGACCUGAACCAGGCUAGGGAUAUAGGAUUUCAGCUAUGGGAACAGCUUUACCAGAAUUAAUGGGCAAGGAUUGCAAGGAGACUGACAAUAGUGCCAAGCUUAUUUGAGUUCAGAAAAUGAUAUUCCAUUCUGAUUGCACCUACUAGCAGAGUUACAGGAACUUCUUGUUCCUGGCAUUGAAUUUCAUCUCAGAAUGAAAGCCAGUGUCCUUUGCUCGUGAGUGAGGAGGGUUGCCUUCAUACUAUGCAGUUACCUUGCCAGGGCUCUUCCCUAAGUUUUAUAAACUUAAAUAAACACAUGGAAAGCUUUUCUGAACACGGUCAAAGAACUGUAAACAUCAAAACUUACUCAAGAUUUUAAUUAAUCUCAAUGUCGAGUCUGGAUUCCUUGAUUCAAAGAGCCUCCUACUAAAGCAGAAUGUAACAAUUAUGUGCAUACCCAGAAACAAAUUAUAUUCACCUUGUAAUUUGAUUUUGAUUUUAUGUUUUGCAGUUAUCUCCUUUGGCUCUGAGUCAUUACUUGUAGUGGAAAUACUGAUACCUGUAAUGGCUCAUAAUACCAUAUGGAAACUUUCCACUCUUCCCUGUACCUCUCUCACCAGGACUCGUUCACUUGUCAUCUUUUAGCAGCAGAAAAACCUUAGACUGCAUAGGACCACAGGACACUAGUGUACACCUGAAAAAUGUUGGAAAACCUUCUUCUCAUAUAAGUAAUGGUGAUUCUUAGCCAGACUGAACCUCAUACAUGUGCAGCAUCUGAAAGGAUGAAAGACUUCUGGACACUGAGGCUUACCAAGAGUGUUUUUCUGAUGUCCUUAGAGGUUUUGUGUUACUUAUUCCACACUCUUUGUGAAUUCCUCCUCUGACUUCUACACAUUUAAUGUAGAUUGUUUGCAGGAAUAACUCUAGGGAUCUUGUUGGAGCUGGAUAUAUAUAUAUUUUCUUUUUCCUCUGCAAUCUGAAAACCUGAAAGAAUAGAUAACUCUCCCUAGUACUUUCUUGCAAAACAAAUAAGGGGAAAAGAAACUGAUUUCAUUGAAAAGCCCCAAACCUGCUUUUAAAAAAGGUCUUGGUACAAAUUAAGCCACAGCCAUUCUGCCACCUCUGUAGGCAGCACCAACUUUAAAAAUUCACCAAACUGCAACAAAUGACAACUAAGCACUGCUUCGUUCCAAAUUUAGAGAAGCUACCUUCCUUCACAUUCAAAUUUUAGAUACAUAGUUGAUGCUUACUGUGUUGAUUUUAAUGUGUGUCACUCUUCAGUGUCAAAGGUAACUAGACUACAGUAAAGGCUGGCGCUAUUUAUCAGCAACUUGCUAAGAAACAGAAAAUAAAACCUGUCUCUAAAUUUAUAUGAUCUCCAAAAAGGAAUGUUUUUUUCCAAGUUUGUUGCUGUGACUUCACAUGAAAUGUAGUCCUUUUGUGUUAUGUAGUUCUGUAAAAGCAAGGAAAAUACUGACUCCUGAAAACAUUCUAAUUAUACGUAUUAAUAUUUAAAAUUCUAUUUAUGCCCUUGACACUUAGGAGCACUAUGUGAAGCUAUAUUCAUAAAAGUAUUUCUGACUCAUUGGCAAGAAAGACUAUUGUGGUACAGCAUACUUUUUUUGCUGAGUAGAGGCAGAUUGAGAAUGCAUUUAGAUCCUGAAAAUCCUGUUCCACUACCUAGUAAUCUGCCGUGGCUGCUGUGCUGCCUGUCAAUUCUUCACAUCUUCAUUACUGCCCAGGCUCAUCAGGACAGAGACUUCAGAGGUGACCAGCUGGGAGAUGGAAAAGAGUCAUUAUUCUGCCUGUUUUCCUCCAAAGGGCUUUAUCUAAUAAGCUUUUUUAUCAAACUCAUAGUAUGUUCCCAAAGAUAUUUUGCAAAAUGCAACCAUGAGUACAUUUUUUUUUUUUGUAACAUACAAGAAGUGGCUAUGGUGUCCCUUUUUAAUUAACUUUGGUUUGGUUCAUCAGGAGCUGAAGGUUUUUUUAGUUCGUUUGCUUGAUUUUUUUUUUACAUGUCAAUAGAUUCAAUAGAUACCAUUUUUACUUUGCAGUUCAGAAGGAACUGUCUGACUUAACAGCAGGAGGAGAGAGUAAAUCAUUGGACUAUAAAAGCAUCUUUGAAAGAGGUCAAAAGGCCCAAAGGGGAAAAUAGCAAACCUUUGACUCUGUGCAUCAAAAGAUUAUACCUUGAUGAAGUAAAGAUCUGGGGAAACACACAGGGGCAGCAGGGCCUUAGAUGGGGGAGUUGGAAAUGCUGAAGGAUUAAAAAGAGAAACUGGAAAGGCAGAAAGGGAGAGAGCAAGGGGAUGGCUGAUCCCUGACAGAUAGACUGAUGGUGCAGAUUUCCUUUUGAAAAGACUUUUUCAAUUGCCAAGGCUGUAGCAAACAUCUUUUUUUUUUUUUUUUAUCCUCUAGGUACUUUACUCUAGAAGUCUUAUUUAACACCAUAAUCACAUAAUUUUGUGCUCAGUUAGCUUUAUAAGCCUCACUGGAACAUCAUGAGCAUCCUUUCCAUGGAACCCUGCUUUUCUCUUGCUCUUAAUUUAAUGCUUAUGAAGAGCACAUAAAUUUGUAUUGAUCUUUUUUUUUUCUUGCAGGCUUCAACCACAUUUUAGUAUAUGAAACAGAUGGGAGUCUUUAACUCAUUAGAGGGAACCAUUUUAAUACUGAUCCCAUCAAUCUGUACUAUUUUUACCUUGGAGACAGAUGUUUUUCUGUAAAGGGUGUAGUUAUAUGCAUCUGUGGUUGUGUGUGUACCUAGACGGCAAGUUCUGAAGUUACUGAGGCAGAACAGAAGGAAACAGGAACGUUGCAGUGUAGAUGAAGAGGGGACCUUUUUGGCAUGCUACCAAGCAGAAAGCAUAAGUAGAGUGAAUUUAUAACUGUAGUGCAGUUACUUAAGGAAAAACCAAGCAUGCCUUGGUAUGGUUCAGACCUGUUCACAUUUAAAAAACCCCCACUAACUGCAUACACCAACCCCUUUAAAUUUAAUCAGAGUAGUUUUGUGUUUUCUACUCUACUGCUCCUCUGAAACUGUAGCACCUGGAUAGCUUAAAGGACUGAUUUGACUCAGCAAAGCAAAAAAAUAUGUGCUUCUGUGAUUAACAGUUUCCUUUCAUCAGGUUUGCUUUCUCUUUCUUUUUUUGUUUUUCAUUGUUGAGUCUAGAUUUUUGGAAGGUUAGUGUGUGAACUGUUAUGGAAAGCUUCACUUGAAAGGUUACCAUGCAUAAUGCACAAAUAAAUCACAAAAGAGUGAGACAUGGAGAAAAAUAUGAUAUUCAUUUAUUAAACAAAUCAAGUUUCUGCAAUGACAGUAGCUUCAUUGUAGUAAUUAGCCCAGUGUAAGAUAUAGAAAUAUUCAUUCCAAGUUAAUUUGGGAAAUUUCCUGAAAGAUGGCUGAAAUAUGGGGCAACUACAUAUAGCGAGCAAAAGAGUUACUGGAUUUUACAAUUUUAUUUCAAUUUAAGACCGUGGUCUUCAAAACACUGAAAACACAUUCUAUGACUGCUUGUUUGAGCAGCAAGUAAAACUUGAAUUGAGGUGAUUUCAACCUUGUUUUUAAAGAUAGAUUGCUUAUACAGAGUGCAAAGUAGUAGUAUAAGAUUGGUAAACCAAGACAUGUAAUUUUAAAUGUUCAUAUAGUAUAGAAUUUUUUAAUUGUCUUCUUAACAGUAUCUUACAAAUGAGAAAUCCCAAACUUCCCCCCAGGUAGAUUUUGAGGUCUGAUAUCAGAGGUUGAAUAUUUGUAUAUGUGACUAUACAUAUUAUUCUGUCACAGGUUGCCUUUCAGCAAUGAGGCUUUUACGAUUUUAGAUGCAUAUAGCCUUGCUUAUAGUCUGCAUAAUACCUUGACAAUUAUAACAUCUUAACUAAUAAGAUUUUUUUUUUUAGAAAACAGUGUCUGAUUAUAGCUUUAAAGAUUUACUUAAUUUAGAAAUUAAACUGAGCCCCAGAUUCUGGGAUAUAUUAAGGUCCAAGAACCUGAUGAACUGCUGCAGUCAGCUACAUGCAAAUUAUGCCUAGAAGCAGAGCUUUUGCCUUCACUUCCCAGACAGCACAAAGUUAAUGAGCCAAACACAUGAAGUCCUUUUACACAACCAAAACAGAGGGAAAGGAAAAUUUUGGACUGGCAGUCGUUCAGAAAUAUUGAGACUGCUUGUAAAUAUGACCGAAAAAAGACCAAAAUCCAGAGGCUAUGAACAAAAGAGUAUUUGUUAUCAGUGGGAGGACUUUAUGGUGGAACCAUGUUUAGAGUGGCAUUUGUGAAAGGCAGUGUGAUUUUGAUUUAAGUUGCCAUCUAUCAGUUCAUCUGACUAAAGUUUCAUGUAACAACUCAAGCUACUUUGAAGGAAACACAAAAGAAUAUGAGAAGUUGCUGAAAUUAGUUUAACUGGGUUAGAAAUUUUAUAGUUUAUAUUACUUUAUUUUUUAACAUUAUUUUAAUUUUUUACAUUAUUUCGAUUUUUCAUUAUAUUUUUUUAUGUUUCCAUGUAUAUCUGCUCUGGGACUGUAUCCUCUCAGAGAUCCAAGAGCCCCACCUGGAUUGCUCUGCAGAAUGAGAACAGCGUGUCUUUCUCACUUAUUUUGGCAUGUUUGGGAGAUGUGCAAGAGCAGAGCAGCAGAUUACUUUUUUCUCAAGGGCUGUUUUAUUGAACAGAAUAACUCUUUACAGAUCUACUGUCUCCCUGUUUUUCUGAUACAGAGCCUCCCAGCUAUCAGCUGGCCAAGGCCAGGACUUCUUACCAAAAGUAUGUGAAAAAGUGUCCUUCGAAGUCUUCAAUAGAAAGUAACACUCCAAAGGAUAAGAAGAAACCCCAAGACACCAGUUUCAUGAAAAAUGUCAAAAAGAAGGGCAUGUGAAGAAAAACAGUUUGUCAAAUCUACUACAAAGGCAGAUCUAAGCAAAGGGAACCUCAAAGAUGGGAUAUCUCUGAGAUCUACAAAAAGAAAAUGACUGUGUCACAGAAGAAGAGGAGUAUAUGUAUCUCUCUUUAGAAUACAGAAGUUGUCUUUACCAGUUUUGAAUUUCCCAAAUGAGGAAUCCAAAUAUUUAGUGGAGAGCUUAUGGAUGAAGAAUAAGAUAAGUCUGUAUUUGGACUUCAGUGGCAAUGGGGACUGUGUGGAAAGACAAAAAUUGUUUUAGUAAGCUUGGUCGUCAGCUGAUGAGUAUCCAAGAAAGAAGGACCAUAGAAACACAGUCAUGUUAUCUGUUUUUGAAUGUAAUCUUUUCACAUUAGGGUUGUGGACAGCUCUCUGUGAAGUGGGAAGUAGUUUAUUGCUGGUGGUGUUGUCCAGGCUGUCCAUGGUCCCGGGAUAAACAACUCUGUUGCCAAGGUUGUCGGUUUGUUACCUGUCACAAGCAAUAGAUUACACUCGUUUGUUAA